rnacentral:pre_miRNA from 1 species
UUUUUAGUAUAAAUAUAUCCCGUACAGUAUUUGGGAUAUAUUUAUACUAAAA